rnacentral:rRNA from 1 species
UAACAAGCUACUAAGGGCGUGUGGUGGAUGCCUUGGCGCCAGGAGCCGAAGAAGGGCGUGGUUGACUGCGAAAAGCCGCGGAGAGCUGUGAACAAGCUUUGACCCGCGGAUACCCGAAUGGGGAAACCCGGCAGGAGUAAUGUCCUGUCACUGCCGUCUGAAGGACCUUCGGGUCUGUAGUAGGGCGGUGGAGGUAAGUGGGGGAACUGAAACAUCUAAGUACCCCGAGGAAUAGAAAGCAAAGAAUGCGAUUCCCGUAGUAGCGGCGAGCGAAAUGGGAAUAGCCCAAACCGUGUACAUGUGAUAGGCCCAGGCCGUUGUGGACACGGGGUUGUAGGAGUCGACCGGCCCGUCUGGGAGGGCCAAGAAGUCACAAAAUUGGACGUUAACCGAAGGUGGUUGGAAAGCCCCGCCAAAGACGGUGAAAGCCCGGUAGGUGAAAACGAGCCAAUCUUCCGUCGAAUUUCCUGAGUACCACGGGACACGAGAAACCCUGUGGGAAACCGGGAGGACCAUCUCCCAAGGCUAAAUACUGUCUGGCGACCGAUAGCGAACUAGUAACGUGAGUGAAAGGUGAAAAGUACCCCGGGAGGGGAGUGAAAUAGUACCUGAAACCAUAUGCCUACAAUCAGUCAAAGCACUAUGUCGGCUCGGGAUGCGGAAAGACCGUAAAAGCGCGAGGCUUGCCACUUCGGUGGCGGGAUUCGCGGGACGACGUUCCGCCUGCGUCCCAUAACGGCCGAAACGUGUGAUGGCGUGCCUUUCGAAGAAUGAACCGGCGAGUUAAUCAUCGCGGCGAGGUUAAGGGCCUAAGGUCCGGAGCCGCAGCGAAAGCGAGUCUUAAUAGGGCGUUUAGUCGUAGUGAUUAGACCCGAAACCAGGUGAGCUAGCCAUGGCCAGGAAGAAGCGAAAGUAACAUUUCGUGGAGGUCCGAACGCACCAAUGCUGCAAAAUUGGGCGAUGAGCUGUGGUUAGGGGUGAAACGCCAAUCGAACCUGGAGAUAGCUGGUUCUCCCCGAAAUAGUUUUAGGGCUAGCGUCCGGAUCGAGUUUGUUGGAGGUAGAGCACUGAUCGGGUGCGGGGGCACAUCGCCUACCAACCCCUAUCAAACUCCGAAUGCCAACAAACAUACCGGGCAGUCAGACUGCGAAGGCUAACCUCCGUAGUCAAGAGGGAAACAACCCAGACCGCCAGCUAAGGCCCCCAAAUCUCGGCUAAGUGGGAAACGAUGUGAGAUUGCAAAGACAACCAGGAUGUUGGCUUAGAAGCAGCCACCAUUGAAAGAGUGCGUAACUGCUCACUGGUCAAGUGGUCUUGCGCGGAAGAUGUAACGGGGCUCAAGCCGAGUGCCGAAGCUGCGGGAUUGAUGUCGGUUCGCCGGCGUCAAUCGGUAGGGGAGCGUUCCACGGGCGGUGAAGGUCGAGCGCGAGCACGGCUGGAGCGUGUGGAAGUGAGAAUGCCGGUAUGAGUAGCGAAAGAGGGGUGAGAAUCCCCUCCACCGAAUGCCUAAGGUUUCCUGAGGAAGGUUAAUCCUCUCAGGGUUAGUCGGGCCUAAGUCGAGGCCGCAAGGCGUAGACGAUGGACAACAGGUUUAUAUUCCUGUACCACCAACUUUCGUUAAACAAAGGGGGGACCCGGCGGGGUAGGUUGAGCGCAUUCAUGGCUAUAUGCGUCCAAGUAUGUAGGGUGGCCCCAUAGGUAAAUCCGUAGAGCUAUAUCCGAGAUACGAUGGAAAGACCAAGCGCAAGCGCGGUCAAUUCAAUUGAGCCCUGCCGGCGAGAAAAUCCUCGUUGUUUGAAUUUAGGUGCCCGUACCGUAAACCGACACUGGUAGGCGGGGGUAAACGCCCCAAGGUGAUCGGGAUAACUUCUGCUAAGGAACUCGGCAAAUUAACCCCGUAACUUAGGGAUAAGGGGUGCCCCAUUAGGAUGAAGGAUCCUCGCGAUCCGGAGUCUGAAGGGGCCGCAGUGCACAGGCUCAAGCGACUGUUUAACAAAAACACAGGUCUCUGCUAACGCGAAAGCGGAUGUAUAGGGGCUGACUCCUGCCCAGUGCCAGAAGGUUAAGUGAAAAGGUGUAACAGCUUUGAAAUGAAGCCCUGGUGAACGGCGGCCGUAACUCUAACGGUCCUAAGGUAGCGAAAUUCCUUGUCGGGUAAGUUCCGACCCGCACGAAUGGAGUAACGAUUUGAGCACUGUCUCGGCAGGGGACCCGGCGAAAUUGAAUUGCCCGUGAAGAUGCGGGCUACCCGCGACAGGACAAAAAGACCCCGGGAGCUUUACUACAUCCUGGGACUGGUUUCGGGAUGUACUUAUGUAGGAUAGGUGGGAGACUUUGAAGCUGGGACGCUAGUCUCGGUGGAGUCGCCCUUGAAAUACCACCUUGGUGCAUUCUAAAACCUAACCCGUGUCCGUAAUCCGGCACGGAGACACUCUCAGGGGGGUAGUGUGAGUGGGGCGGUCGCCUCCUAAAAGGUAACGGAGGCGCCCAAAGGUUCCCUCAGGCUGGAUGGAAAUCAGCCGUAGAGCGUAAAGGCAUAAGGGAGCUUGACUGCGAGACAUACACGUCGAGCAGAGACGAAAGUCGGGCUUAGCGACCCUACAUUUCCGAAUGGAAGGGAUGUAGCUAACGGCUAUAAGUUACCCCGGGGAUAACAGGCUAAUAGCGCCCAAUAGUCCACAUAGACGGCGCUGUUUGGCACCUCGAUGUCGGCUCGUCGCAUCCUGGAGCUGAAGCAGGUUCCAAGGGUUGGGCUGUUCGCCCAUUAAAGCGGUACGCGAGCUGGGUUCAGAACGUCGUGAGACAGUUCGGUCUCUAUCCGUCGUGGGCGUAAGAGAUUUGAGGGAAGCUGACCGAUAGUACGAGAGGAACCGGUUGGACGAACCUCUAGUGCACGAGUCGUCCCGCCAGGGGCGUAGCUCGGUAGCUAUGUUCGGCAGGGAUAACCGCUGAAAGCAUCUAAGUGGGAAGCCCCACCCAAGAUCAGAUCUCUCACAGCGUAAGCUGGUAAGACCCCAGAAAGACUAUCUGGUUGAUAGGCCGCAGGUGUAAGGCUAGUAAUAGCUUCAGCCGAGCUGUACUAACGGUCGAGGGCUUGUUAUC